rnacentral:rRNA from 1 species
UGGGGAAUUUUGCACAAUGGGGGAAACCCUGAUGCAGCGACGCCGCGUGAUUUAGAAGGCCUUCGGGUUGUAAAACUCUUUUUUAUGGGAUGAAAAUGACAGUACCAUAAGAAUAAGGUCCGGCUAAAUACGUGCCAGCAGCCGCGGUAAUACGUAUGGACCGAGCGUUGUCCGGAAUCAUUGGGCGUAAAGGGUACGUAGGCGGCCCAGUAAGUUAGAAGUGAAAUAAUAUAGCUCAACUAUAUAAAGCUUUUAAAACUGCUAGGCUUGAGAGAUGGAAGGGAAAGUGGAAUUCCUAGUGUAGCGGUGAAAUGCGCAGAUAUUAGGAAGAAUACCGGUGGCGAAGGCGACUUUCUGGUCAUCAUCUGACGCUGAGGUACGAAAGCGUGGGUAGCAAACAGG